ensembl:miRNA
GUAUUAGGUUGGUGCAAAAGUAAUUGCAGCUUUGGCCAUUAAUUUCAAUAGCAAAAACUUCAAUUAUUUUUGCACCAACCUAAU